UACGGAGGGUGCGAGCGUUGUCCGGAAUCACUGGGCGUAAAGGGCGCGUAGGCGGCCUGAUAAGUAGGGGGUGAAAUCCUGCGGCUUAACCGCAGGGCUGCCUUCUAAACUGUCAGGCUGGAGCACAGUAGAGGCAGGUGGAAUUCCCGGUGUAGCGGUGGAAUGCGUAGAGAUCGGGAAGAACACCGGUGGCGAAGGCGGGUCUCUGGGCCGAUACUGACGCUGAGGAGCGAAAGCGUGGGGAGCGAACAGG
rnacentral:rRNA from 1 species